UCGCCUGUUUAUCAAAAACAUGUCUUUUAGAAAUUAAUUUAAAGUCUAACCUGCCCGUUGAAUUUAAUUGAAAGGCCGCAGUACUUUAACUGUGCAAAGGUAGCAUAAUCAUUAGUCUUUUAAUUGAAGGCUUGUAUGAAUGGUUGGACGAGGUAUUAACUGUUUCAAUUUAAUAUAUAAAACUUUACUUUUUAGUUAAAAGGCUAAAAUUUUUUUAAAAGACGAGAAGACCCUAUAGAUCUUUAUAACUAUUUUAUUAACUAUAUUUAGAAUAAUUAAUUUUUAAUAAAUUAUGUUAUUUUGUUGGGGUGACAUUAAGAUUUAAAUAACUCUUAAUAAUAUUUAUUACAUAAAUUAAUGAAUAUUUGAUCCUAUAUUAUAGAUUAAAAAUUUAAGUUACCUUAGGGAUAACAGCGUAAUUUAUUUAGAGAGUUCAUAUCGAUAAAUAAGAUUGCGACCUCGAUGUUGGAUUAAGAAAUAUGGCUGGGUGCAGAAGUUCAGUUUUAUAAGUCUGUUCGACUUUUAAUUUCUUACAUGAUCUGAGUUCAAACCGGAGA
rnacentral:rRNA from 1 species